AAAAAAAGCCGGAAUA
rnacentral:tRNA from 1 species